rnacentral:rRNA from 1 species
CUAAGGGUGAAAGUAUCAAUUGCAGUUGUUAAGUGGCUUACAUCACAAUCUUGUGCAUUUAGAGGCCAUGAUGAAACUCCAGGGUCAAAGAACAGAGGGAACUUUAUUGAAUUGUUGAAGCUCCUUGCAGAAUUCAAUCCUGAGAUUGUUGAAGUUAUUUUGGAGAAUCCUCCAUACAGUUCAAAGUACACAUCACAUGAAAUCCAACAAGAGAUUAUGGGCAUUUAUGCAUUGGAAGUUAGGAAGCAUAUCCGUGAGGAGAUCGGGGAUUCUAAGUUUUCCAUUAUAGUGGACGAGACAUGUGAUGUAGCAAAAAGAGAGCAGAUGGCAUUGAUGAAGAUCAUUGGUUCUCAGUUUUCUAUUCCAGUUUCUACAGCAAGUGCGAGCGAGCAUUCUCAACCUUAA